UAACGUAGGGUGCAAGCGUUGUCCGGAAUUUAUUGGGCGUAAAGAGCUCGUAGGUGGCCUGUCGCGUCGGCUGUGAAAACUCGGGGCUCAACUCCGAGCUUGCAGUCGAUACGGGCAGGCUAGAGUUCGGCAGGGGAGACUGGAAUUCCGUGGUGUAGCGGUGAAAUGCGCAGAUAUCAGGAGGAACACCGGUGGCGAAGGCGGGUCUCUGGGCCGAUACUGACGUGAGGAGCGAAAGCGUGGGGAGCGAACAGG
rnacentral:rRNA from 1 species